rnacentral:misc_RNA from 1 species
ACAAAUCAUUGAUGUGCUGGGGUUUCUCCUAGCACACAUUAACCCGAACCCGUGCAGCAAUGCCGGGCCGGUGCAGUACACUACUACUGCUUGGCCGCGAGGCCAGGUGUGUGGGGGGUACUGCGGCGUGCUGCUUUGUCAGUCGCCACAUAGACGCGCUUGUUAUUGUUUGACAGAGUAUAGUUUGUACAAUCAAAUUAUAGA